UACGUAGGGGCCGAGCGUUGUCCGGAGUUAUUGGGCGUAAAGCGCGCGCAGGCGGCUUGGCGCGCCCGACGUGAAAGCCCCCGGCUUAACCGGGGAGGGUCGUCGGGUACGGCCAGGCUUGAGGGCGGGAGAGGGUGGUGGAAUUCCCGGUGUAGUGGUGAAAUGCGUAGAUAUCGGGAGGAACACCAGUGGCGAAGGCGACUUCCUGGCCUGUUCUUGACGCUGAGGCGCGAAAGCUAGGGUAGCAAACGGG
rnacentral:rRNA from 1 species